rnacentral:tRNA from 1 species
GCACCCAUAGCCCAGUUGGAUAGAGCGUCAGAUUCCGAUUCUGAAGGUCACAGGUUCGAGCCCUGUUGGGUGCGCCA